GAUGNGCNGCCUACCAUGCAAGUCGAGCGGCAGCGCGGGGCAACCUGGCGGCGAGCGGCGGACGGGUGAGUAACGCGUAGGAAUCUACCUGGUAGUGGGGGAUAGCCCGGGGAAACUCGGAUUAAUACCGCAUACGUCCUAAGGGAGAAAGUGGGGGAUCUUCGGACCUCACGCUAUCAGAAGAGCCUGCGUAGGAUUAGCUAGUUGGUAGGGUAAAGGCCUACCAAGGCGACGAUCCUUAACUGGUCUGAGAGGAUGAUCAGUCACACCGGAACUGAGACACGGUCCGGACUCCUACGGGAGGCAGCAGUGGGGAAUAUUGCGCAAUGGGGGCAACCCUGACGCAGCAACGCCGCGUGGACGAAGAAGGCCCUCGGGUUGUAAAGUCCUUUUCUGAGGGGCGAUAAUGACGGUACCUCAGGAAUAAGUCCCGGCUAACUACGUGCCAGCAGCCGCGGUAAAACGUAGGGGGCGAGCGUUAUCCGGAAUUACUGGGCGUAAAGCGCGCGUAGGCGGUUUUGUAAGUCGGAUGUGAAAGCCCCGGGCUUAACCUGGGAAUUGCAUUCGAUACUGCUUAACUAGAGUACGGUAGAGGGAAGUGGAAUUUCCGGUGUAGCGGUGAAAUGCGUAGAUAUCGGAAGGAACACCAGUGGCGAAGGCGACUUCCUGGGCCAGUACUGACGCUGAGGUGCGAAAGCGUGGGGAGCAAACAGGAUUAGAUACCCUGGUAGUCCACGCCGUAAACGAUGAGAACUAGAUGUCGGGAGGAUUUAGCCUUUCGGUGUCGCAGCUAACGCGUUAAGUUCUCCGCCUGGGGAGUACGCCGGCAACGGUAAAACUCAAAGGAAUU
rnacentral:rRNA from 1 species